CAGGACAAGGAUGAACUCAGUGCCAGGAGGGAGACCUCUACCCCAUGUGUCUUGGCAGUGUCAUAGGCACGCUUCAUCAUGCCAUCUGCACCAUCAAACCAUCUCAAGUGUCUGGUCUGUAAAAUGGAGACAAUUCCCACCUCAUGUGAUUUGUGGUGGGUUGGCCACACACCACCUCCACACAAACACCUCCUCUGGGAUCUGGCUGCCCCUCACUGUUCCAGGACCUGCAAACUUCACUCCUUGCUCUAGGGGUACAGAUUCAAAAUCACCAAAGACAGGAAGGAAAAUAUUCUGCAGGCAACCUCUGCUUCUAGCCUUGUGCAAUACUUUCCUUGGGCCAGAUGAAAAACAUCUGCUCUCUCUCCUUGAAGGGAGAAGAAAAGGGAAAAUAUGGCAAGAAAAAGAUGUAAAUGGUCACCUCAAAGACUGUCCAUCCAGACACACUUGGGUGUAUGGUUUCUGUACAUCAGUUAUUAAAAGGACGCAACUUCUGCCAAUGGUAAAGUUCAGUCUCAUCUGUCUGUUGAGACCACAGCUCUUCACAUCUCUGCCUCCUUUGGUACCCAAGUGGCCCCCACCCAUUUCCCCAUGCCCAGCAGAGCCGCUCAGGACAGGCUGACUCCCCCCGGUUUGGGGCCUGCUCUCUGCUGCAGUGACCAGCAGCUAGGUUAAAAGUGGCCACUGCAGCCCCACCCUCGCCCACUGCUUUCCAACACAUGGUCAGUCAGCUGUGUACAAAUGGUUAGUAAGUUGCGUUCAAAACAGAACCUGGCCCAAAAUAUCCUCAGUAAAUAUCAACUUCCUUCACCCUUUCUCAUCCUUGCCAGCAGGGACAGGCUCUCUGGUGACUUUGUACUGGGUCAGCUUAGCCACAGGGGGUGGGGUCUGUGCUCACUGGAAUUCCCUUCCUCGGGUUCCAGAAACAGUGCAGCUAAGACCGUCCUGGAACCCAAGUAUCCUGACAGGGAAAAUCAAGGCAUUGUCAGAGGUGGAAGGGACUUGGAGAUUAAUCCACCUCCCUCACUUUUUACAGAUGACAGAGAAAGUGUGAAAGUGUUAAUCAGUUGUGUACAACUCUUUGU
ensembl:lncRNA